AAAUCCCGACUUUCCCAAACCCUAAAUUCUAGAACCAAAUCGGAUCAGCGAACCCGCUGCAGCAGCAUCCCCAUAACUUGCAGUGGAUUCCCCCGUCCGUCUUUAUUCUCGCCGGAGAGCCAGGUUUUCCUUCUUCCUUUGUGCUACAAGCUUUUAUAGGGUUUAAAAGAUUUUGUGAACUUUGUGUUGUAGUGUUUUAGAACUGUUUCAAGUUUUGAACACCGUCUUUAAAUGUGAGCAAUGGAUUCAGAUCAACAACCAAGUAAGAAAUCGAAACAACCGACACUGCAUUCGUUCCUCUAAAAAUCAUCACCGUCUUCAAAUCAUCAUACUGGCGGAUUAUCAUCGACUAAGAGAUCGAGAUUCAGCAAGGAAGAUAUUGAGAAAAAUCAGUCUCGUCUGAAAUUAACAAUCUCGCCUGUUUGUCUAAUAGCAAAGCAAGGAUGGUGCUUCAAAACCCAUGACGAGACUGCACCCGACCUCCUCGAUCACGGGAUUUUCAUCGGAUUGAUCGAUUUAGUUGGGGAACUCAAUCCAAACGUACUGGCAAACGUUCUCGACGAUGCACCAAGUGACAGGAAUCUCUCUUCAGAUACAGAAGCAGGCUCUAGAGAUCAUGACGGAUAAAGUUUGCCGUAUGAUCCGUGAGGAGAUUGGGGAUUCGUGGUUCUCCAUCAUUCUCGACGAAGGAAUGGAUGAAUCUUGGGAGUACACAUGGCUAUCAUCUUGAGAUUCGUUAGCUCAGAUGGCGUUCUGAUCGAGCGGUUCUUCGAUGUCAAGGACGUCACUGGGCGGACUCGUUCGGAAGAAAUGAAGCAGAUGAUAUGUGAUGCUCUCUCACCGUACGGUUUUAAUCUCAAUAAGUUGAGAGGUUUGGGAUAUGAUGCUGCUUGUACCGAGACGGAGCAGUUUAGUGGACUCGUAACAUUGUUUCUCAAAGAUUGUCAGUAUGCAUACUUUGUUCAUCAUCUUGCUCACAAGUUACAUCUGGACUUAGUAUUUCUUCGAGGUAUUGGAUAAGGUCGUUGAGAUUUUCGAGUCGUCUCCCAAGCGGAAUAUGGAGUUGCAGGAAGCUAUAAGAUCAGGAGCUGUUGAUGGAGAACUGGAAUCUAAAUGUCCGAGGCGUUUAGCCACUGCUUGUUGGAGUUCUUACUAUACUUCAGCUCAGAGCAUCAUAGACUUCUUUGAUCCAACUUAUGAAGUCCUGGAGGAUGUUAUGGGCAAUGAUCCGGACGUGGAAACUCGAGUUGAUGCUAGACGCGCUCUGAGAGAAUUCGAGAACUUUGGAUUCGUUUAUGGGUUGCAUUUGAUGAGGGCGAUUCUGGAGAUUACUGAUCCUCUUUGUCAAGCCUUUGAGGAAGAAUCUAUCGACCUUAUUACUGCAAUCGGGUUUAUUUCCACUGCAAAAAGUCUUCUUAGGGAAUUACGAGAUGAAGGGUGGGAGAAACUUCUUCAAGAAGUAACAGAUUUCUGCUCAAGAAAUGAAUUCAAAGUACCCUAGCAAAGUACAACAUUUAAACAUGGUAGAGAGCAGAUUAGUGUGGAACUAUAUUUCAAUCGGCCGAUAGAUUCACAGUUGGGCGAGUUGAAUUCAAGGUUUAGCGAGUUGUCAGUUAAAUUGCUUCAGUUGAUCGCUGCAUUGGAUCCGAAAGAUUUGUUUCGGUCGUUUAAUGCAGAUGAUAUAUGCAGGCUUGCAGUGGAGCUAUAUCCUGCAGAUAUUAACGACCUUGAUUUGAAAAGUGAGUUACCACAGUACGAGACACUUGUGGUUCGAAGUCCCGAGUUUCAAGUACCUACACUCGCAAAAUUGUGUGAGGAGUUGGUCGAAACAAGGUUGGACGAUACAUUCAACUCGGUAAGUAGACUGAUUCGCCUUGUGUUAACAUCACCGAUAUCUAGAGCUACUACGGAGAGAACGAUAUCAACAAUGAAGCUUUUGAAGAACGACCUUCGCUACGAAACUACUGUCGACGAGUUCAAUGCUGAUGCUCUGACGAUUGCUAUCGAGAGUGAUGAUCCUAUGAGCAUCGAUCUGGAUUAUGUCAUCAACGAGUUCGCUAAGUUGACAGGUCGUGUUGCUGAACUAACAUUUUAGUGUACAAGGUAAGUACAAGAUCAACUUUAAGGCUUUCUCUUGCUUGAACUUCUUUUACCCCUUGAAGGAUGAAUAAUUGGUGGCAAGCAUUCCUCAGGAUCUAUGUAGAAAUAAUCUUCUUCUUUUGGUUUGCCAGGGAUCUUCAGUCUCUCAAUUGGGCCACCCAUUAGCCCCCUGUGUGCUGCCUUCACCGAUCUCGAAAAUUCGUCCCAGCUAAUCAUACCACUUUUGUACUUGUCUAUAAGUGUCACUAGAACCUUUCUAUCUAGCCUAAUGGUUCUCUU
rnacentral:lncRNA from 1 species